AGUGGAUGCUUAUGGUCCUUUGAAGUGGUGUGAUGGUUUUGUGCAUGGGCAGAUGCUGAAAGCCUUCUGAAAUGCGAGAAGAUUUUUUUGCUGUAUCUUUGAAUCUCUAUUGCCAUAGAAGAUAAAAAAGUACCAUGGCUAUGCAACAAACUGUCUUCUUGUUUUUGAGAUCGACUGUUCUGUCUGAUGGGAGAAUUGAUAAUCACAGGGCAAAAUCGAUCAAGGCUCUGGGGCAACUGAUUACCAGCGAGUCAGCUGAAGCAUAUCCUGCACAGAGGACAAAUUGAUGGAGUUCUCCAGUUGCUAAGGGAGCUGCUGGAGGAGACUGAAACCCAGCAUGUGUAUUUCAGACUAAACUAGUACUGGGGCAGAAAUUGGGAACAGGCCCUCAUUCUUUGUCCAUCCAUACUUGCAAAUGUUGGGGUGCUAGAAAAAAUAUUUAUGGACAGAUUCUUAUUUACAUUCUGGUACCGUUGUAUAGCUGGGUAGUAGAGCUUUUAUGUAAAAUUAAGGGGGGAAAGAAAGGGCACUGAAUUAUAAAGUGGUAUAAAUAGCUUUUCUGUAAAUGUGGCUCUGACCUCAAGUAUUAGGAGCUCCAGAGUGAAAGAAUAGCAUUGUUAAAAGAUAACAGGGCAGAGAGGCUUAAAUUCAGAUACCGAAUUGCUUUGCAGACGUUAGGCAUGCAAAAAUACAAGGCAAAAACUUGUUAGGAUGGGUAAGACAGUCUGAUACAUAAAGACAUUUGCCUCUAGGUAAAUCAGGAGUUCUCCUGUAAUCAACACAUUGGUGUAAAUUGAUCCUGGAGCAAGAUAGGACUCUGAGAUAACACUUCUCAAAUAACCUCCUCUAAUUUUGGAAGGAUUGUCAGCUCACCACUGCAGCACAAGAGGAUAAAAGGAGAAUGCUUGGGAACUAAUUAACAAGUUACCAGCUGAGAGGGUCUCAUUAUUUUGAAAUGUAAAUACUUUUGUUGAUUAAAUCUGGAUCAUUAGCUCUGGUCUUUGAUAGAGGAAGUUUCAUCAGAAGUGAAAAAUGAGGACGCAAGGAACUCUGUGGUGUUAUUGAAAUAUCUGAUCCUUUGGGAAGUGUCCCAAGAAUGUCCAGAGAGCUGAACAUACAGGCUUUAAUAUUUAAACUGUCCUGUGUAUCUGGAGCUGUGAGAGGCUCCUGCUCUCUUCAAACUAUGCACAAAGAAAAACACGACUUACACUGACCAGCAGCUACCAAACAGUUUAAUGGCAAAACAAAUUCCUGUUUGGCAGGAUCUUGGUAAUGUUUCAAAUAAAUCUAAGCUCUAGCAUAGAACACACAAAAGUUUCUGGUCAGAUUCUUACCACAAAUUUUUGUCUACUUCAGAUGCUUGAAGUUCCUGUUCAUGAAAUCAAAUUUCUACACAUGGAAAAAGAUAUAUUGUGGAUUUAAACACCUUCCCAACUGACUUUCAUAAUAAAAUUAAUUUCAACACCUACUGAAAGGCACAAUUUUUUGUAUGCAAGGUUAAACUGUGUCCUGGUUAUCGAGCAGGGUAGAGGAAAAACAUUGAAGUGAGCAAAACAACCAUGAGUAACAAAGCUGUCUUUUCAAAACUUCUGGUGCUGUGCCAUGCAUUUCUAGAUCUGAGAUAUCUGUUCAGCUUCCAAACAGCCAUAUGUCAGGAAGCCAAGACCAUAGUAUUUUGAUUUUGCAAUCUACUUUUCCUCUGUCUUCUUUCUGAGCGUAGCAGGAGACUCCCCAGACCUAUUAUGACUAAAAAUCACGUGAACUUCCAUCUGCCUUGGGGGGCUGCUAUAUGAAAUACAGUUACCUAUAUAUAUGG